AAGCUUUAAGUUAUCUAAACUAGUAGCCUUCAAAGCUAUCUAAAAGAGUUUUAAUCUCUUAAGCUUUA
rnacentral:tRNA from 1 species